AAUAUUAUUUAUUGGGAAAUUUCAAAGCUACACUUUUUAAUUUAUUUCUCCCCCAAACAGAUAUAAAUGCCAGACUUUUUUAUCCAUAGCUGUAUAUUCGCAGGCUGUUUUGCUGAACAAGGAUGUAUAUCCAAUAGACAGUUCAAUAACAGAUUUAAUGGUUUAGGAAUUAUAAGAAAAGAAUUAAGUCUAAACACUGUCGGGACUGCAGAUGUGUUUUGCCCCAGAAAAUGAGGGAAAUAUAUUUGUUUCUUUCAAAUAUACAUAUAUAUACAGGCUGGUAGUUUGAAUUGGAUUAAAGCCCCAAUAAUAUUUUCCUAACUACAGUUCUCUGGCUGCCUUUGGAGCUGCUGGCGGAAAGAUAUAACUUUGCAAACACUUUCUUGAAGGGCUGAGCCUGAAGGGCCCUCAACAAUGCUCACCCAGAGAAAGGGAAACACCUCCACAAAAGGGGGGAAUUGUUAAUAGCUGACAAUCCAAAGGGGCCCCCCAGAGAAGGCCUGUCCUAUACAAUAAGGACAGAAGGCCGUGAUUUCUAUAGCAAGGGGGCCCCACUUUUUAAUCUGGACAAAAACAAAAUGUUAAUCAGGUCUGAAAGCCCUGACGGGUCAAAGCGGUGGGCAGAAAACCGGACUCUUUAACUCUCCCCCCCCUCCUUCUCUUCUUCUCCCACCCCCAACUCAACCCCCAAAGCAGGCCCCAAAGAAGAAGGACUGGCUGUCUCCUCCUCUUUAACUUUAUUUCAUCAAUUAGCUCUUUUGGGGAAAAAAGAAGAAGAAAAAGAAAAAGGAGGGGGAGGAUGAACAGCCCUAGUCAACUGAGGGAAACUUUUAAAAGAGUGCUUUUCUCUUCUUUGCUUCAUCCUGCCAAGGAGAAAGCCACUUCUUCGAAAGAGCAGCCUUCGCUGCAAUCGGAAGAUCUCCAGCCAAGCGCCGUCUGCAUCCAUGACCUAGAUUCGGCUUGCACCCUUGGCCUGGAGGAAAAGGUUCGAUGCAAGAUCAAGACACGCUCGAUUUGACGUUGUCAGUUUUCCCCACCAAGCGCAAUGCCGUGACAUCAUGUUCCCCGCAAAGCUGGGGAAAAUCCAUGAUUUGGUCAUAGAUAACGGCUGUUUCCAAUAAAACGUGUGGCUUGUUUGUUUAUUCUCUAUUUUAGAAUAUACAAAGCUUGUGAGAUACCUUCGUACAAGCUGAGCAUCCUUCGUCCAGAAUUCUGAAAUCUAAAAUACUCCAAAAUCAAAGACAUGGACGGCUGAGAUAGUGACACCUUUCCUUUUCUGAUAGUUUAAUGUACACAAACCUUGUUUCAUUCAAAAAAGUAUUUAAAAUAUUGUAGAAAAUUAUUUUCAGGCUAAAUGCACAAGUUGUAUUUGAAACAUAAAUGAAUUCCACUUACAGAAAAAUCUGUAAGUGUUGAGAAUGUAACAAAGAGUAUCUAGGUCAAUGAUGGGCAACCUUUUGUGCUUGGUGUGUCAAAAUUCACCAAAAAACCUAGCAUGACUUGGGUAGUGUGUCACUUUGAGAAAAAAACCAUAAUUUUGCAAUAUGUAUAGUUUAAAUAACAAAAAUAUAUAAUUGUAAUAUAUAACUGUAUUCAAUAAAUCAAAAACUAUUUACUACCAUUAUUUCCAUGUACAACAAUCUAUGGUACCUCUUGCAGUUUCCAUGCUGAUUUCUCUCUAUUCUAGUUUCAAUGUAGUCAUGAGCAAUGAAUAAUAUAAUAAUAAUAUAAUAAUAAUAAGAUGAUAAUAUACUACAAUAAUAAUAGAAUAAUAAUAGAAAUUAUAUGUAAUGUGCAUAAUUCCCAUGGAGUAAACAACAAAACCACUGGACCAAAUCACACCAAAUUUGGCCACAAAAGACAUAGUCAUCCAAUCAAUCUGCAGGCAGCAGUGUGUCAGCAAAAAUGGCUAGGCAUGUCAGUGCUGACACGCAUGUCAUAAGUUGGCCAUCACUGAUCUAGGUGAUGUUUUACUAAUCUGUAAUCAGUUUUUGCUUUAAAUUAUAACGAUAGUCAAAUAACCAAUAGAGAAUGGAGAUUCUUGUGAUUAACCAUAAGCUAAAUGCAAUGUUAUAAACUACUCAAAUGUUGUAUUUCAUCAUUGUACUGUCACAUCACUCUAGCCAAUGGUUUGUUGACUGAAAUAAAGGCUACUGACUGACUGAAUUCCAUAUUUAGACUAGGGUUCCAUCUCUAAGAUCAUUCCUUAUGUAUGUAGGUGCAAAUACAGAUAUCCCCAAAACCGGGGGGAAAUUCCAUAAACAGUGUCUGAGAUAGUCACACCUUUCCUUUCUGCUGGUUCACUGAACACAUGCUUUGUUCCAUGCACAACACUAUUUAAAAUAUUGUAUAAAAUUACCUUCAGGCUAUGUGAAUAAGGUGUAUAUGAAAUAUAAAUGAAUUCUGUGUUACGAUUUGGGUCCCAUCUCCAAGAUAUCUUAUUAGAUAUGUAUAUGCAAAUACAGAUACCCCCCAAACAAGGAAAAUAUCCAAAACCUGAAACACUUCUGAUCCAAUAAUUGUGAAUAAGGGAUAUUCAAUCUGUUUGUCAGUAAAUCUGUUGGUCAGAUCCUUCUUCUAUAGAACACCUAUCUGGAGUCAUUGCUUUUGUGACUUUUUUUGUUGUUUUUCUUAUUCUUGCUCUUAUUAUGAAUGCUUCACUUAUAGUCUGCCUUUCCCUCAAACUGGAAUGUGCUAGGGCAGCUGACAAUGAUUAAAAUAGGUUGAAUAUCCAAAAUGUGAAAUAAUGUGCGCUGAUCGGAAACAGGCUUGGCUGAUAACUGCAGUGUCCUUCUUUUCUUCUUCCCUUUUCCUCCAUUUGCCUCAACAUUAUCAUGGUGGGCACAACAUCAGCCAUUUUAAAACCUAUCGUGAGAUUCUUUUAAAUCCAAUGGAAAAGAACAAAGAUAAUCCUAUGGUGCUGUUUUCAAGAAAGAGACUGUAAAUUCUUCUGGAGUAUAACAUUCAUGAGAAUUAAGAUUAACUCUCAUUUUUUUGUUUAGUGUUCUUUUUUAUGUGUGUGAAUAUAUAUGGAUGUGUUAUAUAUAUAUAAAAAACCUCCGCCCUCUCUA